rnacentral:rRNA from 1 species
GACGAACGCUGGCGGCGUGCCUAAUACAUGCAAGUUGAGCGAUGAAGAUUGGUGCUUGCACCAAUUUGAAGAGCAGCGAACGGGUGAGUAACGCGUGGGGAAUCUGCCUUUGAGCGGGGGACAACAUUUGGAAACGAAUGCUAAUACCGCAUAAUAACUUUAAACAUAAGUUUUAAGUUUGAAAGAUGCAAUUGCAUCACUCAAAGAUGAUCCCGCGUUGUAUUAGCUAGUUGGUGAGGUAAAGGCUCACCAAGGCGAUGAUACAUAGCCGACCUGAGAGGGUGAUCGGCCACAUUGGGACUGGGACACGGCCCAAACUCCUACGGGAGGCAGCAGUAGGGAAUCUUCGGCCAUGGACGAAAGUCUGACCGAGCAACGCCGCGUGAGUGAAGAAGGUUUUCGGAUCGUAAAACUCUGUUGGUAGAGAAGAACGUUGGUGAGAGUGGAAAGCUCAUCAAGUGACGGUAACUACCCAGAAAGGGACGGCUAACUACGUG